GGCCUCUUCAUAUUGCCCUCUCCUUUUAUAAAAAUUAUGUGUGCACAGAGAGGCCACCUUUUUCAGGACUGUACAUUUUCAGAUGAUAAGAUUGACCAAUGCAAGUAUUCAUAAUGACUUUCCAGUUGGCCCUGAUUUUCAACCAUGUGAUUGUUUCACUCCUGGACUAUGACUUUUGGUGGGAGAUGGAAGUUUUUUAGAGAACUGAGCUGUGGAAAAAUGACCUCUCCUUAACAACUUGAAGCUAUUUUUAAGAUUUGAGGGUCUGGACCAAAAGAAAAGGAGCAUCAGGUUAAGUCAAGGUGACAGAUAAGGUUGAGAGUAACGACUAACUCCAAAGAUGGCUUCCCUGAAGAAAAGACAUUUGAAGAUUUUUUUUUUCUUAAUCUUGUCAGAAGAUCCCAGAAAAGUUCUGAUUUUCAUUAUCAAUAAAGGUAUACAUGCA
rnacentral:lncRNA from 1 species